rnacentral:rRNA from 1 species
GUGAACGCUGGCGGUAGGCCUAACACAUGCAAGUCGAACGGCAGCACAGUAAGAGCUUGCUCUUACGGGUGGCGAGUGGCGGACGGGUGAGGAAUACAUCGGAAUCUACUUUUUCGUGGGGGAUAACGUAGGGAAACUUACGCUAAUACCGCAUCCGACCUACGGGUGAAAGCAGGGGAUCUUCGGACCUUGCGCGAUUGAAUGAGCCGAUGUCGGAUUAGCUAGUUGGCGGGGUAAAGGCCCACCAAGGCGACGAUCCGUAGCUGGUCUGAGAGGAUGAUCAGCCACACUGGAACUGAGACACGGUCCAGACUCCUACGGGAGGCAGCAGUGGGGAAUAUUGGACAAUGGGCGCAAGCCUGAUCCAGCCAUACCGCGUGGGUGAAGAAGGCCUUCGGGUUGUAAAGCCCUUUUGUUGGGAAAGAAAAGCAGCAGGUUAAUACCCCGCUGUUCUGACGGUACCCAAAGAAUAAGCACCGGCUAACUUCGUG